rnacentral:rRNA from 3 species
GAAUAUUAGUCAAUGAUCGAAAGAUUGAUCUAGUUACUUAGAAAGAUGAAGAUUAUAAAAAGUAAAAGAAAGAAAAUAAUAAUGAAGAAUAUAAAAUCAAUGUAUAUAUAAAAGAAUAAUGAUGAUUAUAUAUACAGUAGUCUUAACCAAAAUUAGUGCCAGCAGUUGCGGCUAAACUAAGGAGGCAAACGUUAAUCAUUAAUGGCUUAAAGGAUCCGUAGAAUGAUAUAUUAAAAAAAUAUAUUAGAGUUAAAUAGAAUAAUUAUGAAAAAUUAUAUUGAGAGAUGAAAUGUGUGGAAAAUAAUUAGACAAAUAAACGUGAAGAUAUAAUUAGAUAUUUAACUGACAUUGAGGGAUGAAGGCAUGAGUAUCAAAACGGAUUAGAUACCCGAGUAGUUCAUGCAGUAAACGAUGAAUACCAAUAUUAUGAAAAUAAUAUGAAGCGAAAGCAAAAGUAUUCCGCCAGGAGAGUAUAGCUUCAAAGUUGAAAUCCAAGACAAUAGACGGUUACAGUUGUAGGCAGUGGAUUGUGUUAUUUAAU